GAGGGACUUAGAAGUUCUUCUAUUUCGUCCAAAAAACAGCAAUGCCCGGACACGGAUGUCCGGGCAAAACGCAAUCGAACCCGGAUGGUUCGUUGCGUUGGUUGCGUACCUUAUCAACGAUCAACAUCGAAAUAGUUAGAGCUUCUUAGUUCCG
rnacentral:ncRNA from 1 species